GAAUGACUCCUGGCAAUGGAUAUCUUGGCUCUCGUGUCGAUGAAGAACGUAGCGAAAUGCGACACUUGGUGUGAAUUGCAGAAUCCCGUGAACCAUCGAGUCUUUGAAUGCAAGUUGCGCACAAGGCCAUUAGGUCGAGUGCACGUCUGUUUGGGCGUCAUGU
rnacentral:rRNA from 1 species